UACAGAGGGGGCAAGCGUUGUUCGGAAUUACUGGGCGUAAAGGGCUCGUAGGCGGCCAACUAAGUCAUACGUGAAAUCCCUCAGCUUAACUGGGGAACUGCGUGUGAUACUGGAUGGCUUGGAUUUGGGAGAGGGAUGCGGAAUUCCAGGUGUAGCGGUGAAAUGCGUAGAUAUCUGGAGGAACACCGGCGGCGAAGGCGGCAUCCUGGACCAAUAUUGACGCUGAGGAGCGAAAGCCAGGGGAGCAAACGGG
rnacentral:rRNA from 1 species